rnacentral:lncRNA from 1 species
CUCCGCCCACCCGCUUCCGGAACUGGCCUAUAAAAGGGGGUCCAGCGGCGCCGGCCGCUCUCUCUCGGGUGUUGUCGCCGCCAUUUUGUCGGAGGCCGGAGGCUCCAGCCGCCAUCCGCCGCCAUCCGCGGGCACUGAGCCCGGGCCGCCAUGAGAGCGAAGUGGCGAAAGAAGCGUAUGCGCAGGCUGAAGCGCAAAAGGAGAAAGAUGAGGCAGAGGUCUAAGUAGAUGUCUUCUCUGCUGCUACUGAGGCUGCAAAGCAGAGCA